rnacentral:rRNA from 1 species
UUAUCCGGAUUUAUUGGGUUUAAAGGGAGCGCAGGCGGAUUGUUAAGUCAGUUGUGAAAGUUUGCGGCUCAACCGUAAAAUUGCAGUUGAUACUGGCAGUCUUGAGUGCAGUAGAGGUGGGCGGAAUUCGUGGUGUAGCGGUGAAAUGCUUAGAUAUCACGAAGAACUCCGAUUGCGAAGGCAGCUCACUGGAGUGUAACUGACGCUGAUGCUCGAAAGCGUGGGUAUCAAACAGGAUUAGAUACCCUGGUAGUCCACACAGUAAACGAUGAAUACUCGCUGUUUGCGAUAUACAGUAAGCGGCCAAGCGAAAGCAUUAAGUACUCCACCUGGGGAGUACGCCGGCAACGGUGAAACUCAAAGGAAUUGACGGGGGCCCGCACAAGCGGAGGAACAUGUGGUUUAAUUC